UACGGAGGGUGCAAGCGUUAUCCGGAUUCACUGGGUUUAAAGGGUGCGUAGGCGGGCAGGGAAGUCCGUGGUGAAAUCCCCGAGCUUAACUCGGGAACUGCCAUGGAUACUAUUUGUCUUGAAUAUUGUGGAGGUAAGCGGAAUAUGUCAUGUAGCGGUGAAAUGCUUAGAUAUGACAUAGAACACCAAUUGCGAAGGCAGCUUACUACACAGUUAUUGACGCUGAGGCACGAAAGCGUGGGGAUCAAACAGG
rnacentral:rRNA from 1 species